GCGGGUGGUGAGGGGGCUGCUGCUGCUGGAGGCGGCGGGGCUGCUCGGCGCUCUCCUGCUCUACCGCGCCAUGGACCGCAGCCAAGACUUCAGAUACACAAUGCAGAAGAGGUUUCCAUCAAUUCUGGAAGUGUAUUACAAAUCCAAUGAGUGGUCUGGAAUUCAUGGCAUAAGGGAGAAUGACCAAAUGACAUGGUUAAGCAGCAAGAACUAAACCCUCUGUGCCUGAACUGUUUCUUCUUUUUGAUGAUGCUUUUCACAUCCCUAUUGUGAAGCCAC